rnacentral:rRNA from 1 species
UACGGAGGGUGCGAGCGUUGUCCGGAUUUAUUGGGCUUAAAGGGUACGUAGGCGGCCCGUUAAGUCAGCGGUGAAAGGCCCCGGCUCAACCGGGGGAGCGCCGUUGAUACUGGCGGGCUUGAGUGCCGCGGGGGUGGGCGGAAUUCCUCAUGUAGCGGUGAAAUGCAUAGAUAUGAGGAGGAACCCCGAUAGCGAAGGCAGCCCACUGCACGGCAACUGACGCUGAGGUACGAAAGCGUGGGGAUCGAACAGG